rnacentral:rRNA from 1 species
UACGUAGGGGGCAAGCGUUGUCCGGAUUUAUUGGGCGUAAAGAGCGUGUAGGCGGCCAGGUAGGUCUGCUGUGAAAACUCGAGGCUUAACCUCGAGAUGUCGGCGGAAACCAUCUGGCUAGAGUCCGGAAGAGGAGAGCGGAAUUCCUGGUGUAGCGGUGAAAUGCGUAGAUAUCGGGAGGAACACCUGUGGCGAAAGCGGCUCACUGGACCACAACUGACGCUGAGGCGCGAAAGCUAGGGGAGCAAACAGG